AUGCUGCCCGCAGACUGUGCCCACAGACUGGUUUCUCUACUCACCCAAGCCUUGGAAGACUGCGCUGAACAAAAGCAGCGACUGCAGCAGAAACUAACACAAUGCCAAGCUAUUCUUGGAGACUGGAACUCACAAGCUCCUGAAUACCCAGUCCUUGAUGAUGGCAAAAAUGAUAAUCAAGGAAGUGAACCCUCAGCCAAGGAACUCGAGGAACUGGAGCUGCUUAACAAAGCCCUGGAGAAAGCAUUAAGGAUCCGAGCAAAGUUCCAGCAGGCUCCAUGUGAGCUUAUAGAAAGUGCCAAAGCUGCAGAAAAGAAGGCUGUUGGUAGUGCUGAUGUAAAACAGCAAGUGGAUCAUUCUAAGGAGAGCAUCUCGAAGACAGUAAAAGUGCAAUCUGUGAACAGAAAGCCAGUGCCUUCCAAAAAGCCUACAGCAUACAUGCUGAAAGCUCCCUACAGGACUGACUUAGAUGUGAAAAGGUCACAAGUGAAAAUGUCAGGCAGACUGAGCUCCAGAACUUCAAAGAUGCCAGGGAAGAAGAAGUCAGCCAAAGGGGCUGCCUCCCCCAAAGCCAUGUUGUCUGCAAAAAUAACCCAAAUGGGUCAUGAAAAGGUCUUUGCCACUGAAGAACCCAGAACACAACAUGAAUUUUCUAAAUCUUCACAUUGUGCAAAGCUAAACCCUUCAUUUGGGGACCUUGUGGGUGGGGGAGACAUUGCAGGUACUGAUGUGCCUUUUUCUGAAGCAGAGCAUAAUUUUGUUGGUCCUGCUCCAGAGUCUGUAGCCACACAGAGCCAUACGGAAGAAGGCACCCCAGGGGCAGACACAACAUCCCAGAUAUCUACUCUACAGGAAAAGGGAUCUUUGAUAAAACUGCCACACCCUUAUGGGAAAGCCUUUUCCAGGUAUACCAGGCUGGGAGAGAAAUGCCGUCUUUGCAAAACAAGCCCAGAAGCUGUUGCUGCAAGGAAUAGUUUUAUGGAGAAACUACAAGCAACAUUCUGCUUGCCUUCACUAGCCUUAAGUCCAGUUGAAGUGAAAGAAGAAUUUAAGCACCUACGUGACAUUCACUCCCAUGUCAGCCAGUGCAUGGAAGCUGAGACCUCAGAGUCUCUUGGAGAAAACCCAACUUGGCAGAGACAGUACGAAAAUCUUCUGACUCUGGAGGGCCUGCAAACGAUAGUGGGCCAGUGUCUGGACAAAGGUGCACCAGUUGAGAGAAGCUAUGGAGUCCCAUUCGAAGCUGUUCCCUGCUAA
rnacentral:lncRNA from 1 species